GCUCACUAGCCAACUUGUUUAGCCAAAUCCGAUGUCAAGAUUUGGGGAGGGGGGAACCUUAUUCAAAAAUCAGGUAGGAAGUGACUGAGGAAGACAGCCAAUAUCAACUACUGGCUUCCACAUUCACACACAUAGAUGUGUUCACAUGCCCACAUACACACACACACACACACACACACACACACACCUAUGAAUAGCAUUCAGAAAAUCCUCUUAAAGAAGUUAGAACUUAAAGCCCAUUUCUGUGGCAUAACAGCAACUGAUCCGAGGAAAGGCAGUCAUUUUUCCUACCUGUCCAAGAAGCAGAAUGUUGUCACCUAUGUCAAAGGAGUGUGCUGGCACUAGGUAGCCACAGUACCUUUCAUUGCCACGCAUCACAGACUCACAGGAAAGAAUUGAACCUCCUCCUUUCCUACAAAAUACAAACAGCACGUGCUUUGAGAGGAGAUGAAUGUUCAGUUCAACAGGAAUGCAACUGGAUCUUUUUCCAUGUUUUGGUUAAGCCACUAAAAAUUUAUCCUUGAGCCACAUUUCGCCUAGAGGACAGUGUGUAUUUCCCUUCUUAAAUGCCACCCAUCAGAGCAGCCUUUCCUGUUUCUGAAUAAAUGACUCUUAAGUCUCAGGGCAAGCAUAUAAAAAGCCCGUGGCUAACACAGCAGGAAAUCUGGAUAUGAGAUUAAGGAUAUGUUAAUCAAUCUUGAUUGCUGCUUUACUAGGAAACUGAAGAACCCUGUAAAUAAAUUGUUCUGAAAUUAAGUGAUUGAGCCUACACUGCAACCAGGAGAUGGGGAAAAGGACAGAUUCAACUGUGUUUCUUAUCAGUGAAGUCAUUCUUUCUCCCCAUAGUUCCUCUUUAUUAGCAUGUCAAAUGGAAUACAUGAAAUAAUGAAUGAUUGAAAAGGCUUAUAUUGUCCCAUGGGAAGCAUGCUGCUCCCUGCCCUGUGGAGAUGCAAUUCUGGGAUUUGGUUGUGGGUCUGCUAUGGAUAACUCUGUGAUUUUAUCCUGGCACCCCUGAGACCAUCUGGGUCUUGGCAAAGAUCCAAUGUGGGUAGAAUUACCUAAAGUAACCAGUCUAAUAUCUUUAGUUGUUAGGACAACGAAUAAAAUAACACAGAGAAUUCCCAGGUGAGAGGGUGUUGGUGAAAGUGUUGGGAGGGGAUUCCUGUAUGGACAACUAUGUCUGGUGAAUUCACUAGUAUAAGACCUCAGAUAUUCUGACAGAAGUCACAAGCUAAAAGGAAAGGAAGUUGUGGCUUGGGAUAUGUUCAUGAGUUAUUUAAACAUUACGGAGAGCAUCAUUGUCCAUUGUUAAGGAACCAUUUCAUUGUCCAGAUCCUACCAUAUUCAGACGUUAUGUGCAGAAAUGUGCAUGCUUUAUCCACACCCCACCAGCAAUGCUGUAUGGUGGAUAUUAGCACUCCAAUUAUAAGUAAAAUUCCUGGCAGAUGUAGGGUUGAUGCAGAUCUUUACCCAUUCUGUAGGCUGCUGUUUUGUCCUAUUGAUGAUGUCCUUUGCCCUACAGGAGCCUCUCAGUUUUAUGAGGUUCCAUGUACUAACUGUUGAUCUUAGUGCAUGAGCUGUUGGUGUUCUGUUCAGGAAGCUGUCUUCUGUACCAAUGAGUUGAAGGCUAUUCCUCCCACUUUCUCUUCUAUUAGAUUUAGCAUAUCCAGUUUUAUGUUGCAGUCUUUGAUCCACUUGGACUUGAGAUUUUUGCUGGGUGAUAAAUCCAGAUUUAUUUGCAUUCUUCGACAUGCAGACAUCCAGUUAGACCAGCACUGAUUGCUGAAGAUGCUUCCUUUUUUCCACUAUAUGGUUUCAGGAGCCUACACUAGGCUGUCACUUGAGCAGAUUCAUCCAGCAGCUGGUGGAAACAGAUGCAGAGACCACAGUCAAACAAUAGGCAGAGCUCUGGGAAUCCUGUGGGAAGGACUGGAGGAGACAGAGGGGUC
rnacentral:lncRNA from 1 species